GCAAACUUGGUCAUUUAGAGGAAGUAAAAGUCGUAACAAGGUUUCCGUAGGUGAACCUGCGGAAGGAUCAUUAACGUACCCACCGGGCGGCGGCCCUGGGUCCCCCGCUCCGACCGGCCAACGGUCGUGUAGCGGGGCUCUAGGCCGCGUCCAACACCCUUCACCAAACCCCACUGUGCACCUCAUCGGCGGAAGGCUCCGAACCGGAGCUGGACGCCGCUUCACUAAACGCUGAAUAAAAGGAUGACGAGCGGCUCAGGUCGCCUAACAUUUGAACAACUUUCAACAACGGAUCUCUUGGCUCUCGCAUCGAUGAAGAACGCAGC
rnacentral:misc_RNA from 1 species